GUUCAUUUAACCACUUUUCUAUGAGACCAUUUUCAAUACUUUGCAAUUACAAACAUGCUGCAAUGAACAAAUAUACAAACCUUGUUAUGUUUAUUUUCCUUUUGUUGCAGCCAUUUCUUCAGGAUGGAUUAUCAGAAGUGGGAUUGCUGAGUCAAAAGUGAGUCACCAUAACAUGGAAAUCAGUCUGUGACUGACUCAGAAAACGUGGGCCAGACUCUGCUGCGUCGUGAAAGCCCAAGUGCUGAGAGUGGCCCCAGGCUUCCCUCCGCCCCGCUAAGGCCACAGACGUGUGGACGAGGCAGUGCAAGUUCCCGCAGCCCCUACCACUUCACCGCUAGAAUGCAGCCACACAGGUGAGCCCAGGCAGGUCCAGGGAAGGAAAGACCCACUCAGCUCGCAACACGGGCCCGGCAGGGGGCAGUCAGGACAUCUCCGAAGGAGGGAGGAGCGGGCAGGAGGAAGCCCCCCGCCGCAACACCUCGGCCAAGGGGCUGGAUGGGGGGGACCUCAGACGACGGACUUCAGCCCCCUUGCCACGGGCAGGUAGGAUGCCCUCGGCCCACGCCUUUGGAGGGCUUUCUCUGCGGCGCUGGACGGAUGCCCGAGGAGGAGGGUGCGUUCCGGGGGCCUCCCAAGCUCAGCCCGAGGUCUGACCGCGGCGGGGCGGGUGCGCUGGGCGCUGGGGAGUUCCUCCCGGUUGCGUUUGGUUUCGGGGAAGCGCGGGGAUGACCGCAUUGGGGAGCGAGUGUGUGCGGCGAGGGCUGCAGCCGGGGGACCCGUUCUCCGUUCCCAGCCGCCUUUGCACUUCCUGCCCCGGCUCCCCCGGAAACCGUGGCUUUGCUGGAGAAGUUAAAAUGCGAGCUGGGUGUGAGCGCCUCUGGGGAGAUGGAGGAGAUGAGCUGGGUGUGAACGCCCCUGGGGAGGUGGAGGAGAUGCGAGAGGAGAUGCGCUUAUUUUGUGGCUUAACUGUUGUGGGUUUGAACCGUUGAUGCUUAGUCAAGGUGGGAGCAUCCCCUGGGGUGAGCUGGUUGCGGGGCCUCAGCACCUGGCUGGGAAGCCCCCGCCUGGGCCUCUGCGACUUGUGGCUCGGGUUUCCUGCGGAGCAGCAGGCAUGAGUGUGAGCCGGUGACUGCAGGAUGACACGGUUCAACUUCAACAGCCCAUUUCUCUGGGCUGCUCUGGCAGGAAAGAGGUUUGGGGCGUUGUGUGACUGGGUUUGUGGUUUUCUGUUAUUUUUUACGUAGGCAUUUCUUGGUUUUCUCUUUGCUCUCUCUAGAGCUUUUAAAAAGAGGACUUUUUCCGGUUGACAUGGACGCUAUUCAUGACAAGAAAAAUACACACACGUAUGCGCAUGUAGAAAUCCCCUAAUACUGAAGUCUGGAGAUAAGCACUACGAUUUUGCUGCACAGCCUUCAUUUUUUCUUUGCUUAUACUAACGUAUAUCUUGGUUUUGAUAUCCUGAAGCUUAUCAAA